rnacentral:tRNA from 5 species
CGCGGGGUGGAGCAGUGGUAGCUCGUUGGGCUCAUAACCCAAAGGUCGUCGGUUCGAGUCCGGCUCCCGCAACUA